UCACCACAGAGUAUCACUUCUGAAUCAGAGCUUUGGUGCUUCUCUUUAGAUACUGAUGGUCUGAUGAAGGCCUCUACAAGUGUGACAUCAGCGGUCAUGGAGAGUCUCCAUCCAGCUGGAUCACUGUCACAGAUCUGACCUCUGACUCCUCCUUACUGCUUGUGAUCAGAGUGGUCCUCCAUCUGGUGGUGUUCUGUCCAUACUUCAUCUCCACUCUCCUCGUGGUGUCUUUAUAUUGACAUUAAAUAUUCAUAUCGAUAAAUUAAUAUGCUGAUGAUUAACUCUAUGUAUCUGAACUCUUGAUCAAUAAACGGC
ensembl:lncRNA